rnacentral:tRNA from 1 species
GCGCCCUUAGCUCAGCUGGAUAGAGCAUCAGAUUUCUAAUCUGCAGGUCACAGGUUCGAAUCCUGUAGGGCGUG